rnacentral:rRNA from 1 species
UACGGAGGGAUCUAGCGUUGUUCGGAAUUACUGGGCGUAAAGCGCACGUAGGCGGCUAUUCAAGUCGGGGGUGAAAGCCCGGGGCUCAACCCCGGAACUGCCCUCGAAACUAGGUAGCUAGAAUCUUGGAGAGGUCAGUGGAAUUCCGAGUGUAGAGGUGAAAUUCGUAGAUAUUCGGAAGAACACCAGUGGCGAAGGCGACUGACUGGACAAGUAUUGACGCUGAGGUGCGAAAGCGUGGGGAGCAAACAGG